CCUUCACAUCUCUUCUCCUCUCCCACCUACAAGUAGCACCCCAUUAUACAUAUAUCAAGAAAAAUAAUAAAAACCUAAGCCCCUCAUGGGGGUGCCUGGGUGGCUCAGUGGGUUAAGCC